CGUCUCGUCUCGUCGAAUUUCUUUGCGCUCUCCCACCUAUCCUAUUCCGCUCGGUAAUCCGCGCACUCUGCUGCUUGGGGUCGCUGGUCGUCUCGUCGCGUUUCACUCGGUACGAUCGGAGCGGCCGCGAGCGGCCGCGGUGGGUGAGGAAGGGCCGGAAGCACAGCCCGUCGGCGCCGCAGGUGGAGGGCAGGCGGAGGCGCGGGAGCGUGAGCGGCCGCGCCGCCCGGCGGGACCAGCAGGAGCGGUUCCGGUUCCACAGGUGCGGGUUACGGCUGGCGUAGCGGGCGGUGCUGGCAGAGGCGUUCUUCCACUCACCGUGGUGUCUCUCCGGUUCUGACUCGCAAAAGGCGAGUUUGUUCGUAAACAUACGAGUCCACUAGCUGCUAUGUUUCAGUACGUGAGACCGAAGACGGAGUUGUUACGUGUUUCGAGAAAGUUUCCUCGAACUCAUGAGACGACCCGGUUGUUGACUUCACCGUGUUUUCUAACCACUUCACUAUCGGUUCAGGACGAACCUCUUUCCUUAGUGGUUUCACCAGAAACUGGCUCCCCCAAAGGAGAUGGUACCGGCGUAGUUUCGAGAUCGGCUACGACGAUCUCUCUUACCCGAGCUCAAGACUUAAAAGGACAACUAUAAAGGUCCCAGCGUACAUUAUAAGAGAGAAAAAAGGGCAGACAAACUUGUUAGGAAAGACAUCAGUAACCUCAGCGAGACGUCUGUACCGGGGAGAAAUUACAAUAGACUAGAAACAUAGUUGUAACUUAGUCGCAACGUUUACCUUCUAAGUAAAAGACAGAUAAAGACGUGAAACCGAAGACGGGUACGUUGGAACAUUUGGUUGUGAACCUUUACCUCAUAAGUCAGACGCUCGAACCCGUUUUAUUGACUCUUCUUAGUACGUGAAUUCGUCUAAAUUAUCAAAUCAUGACGAUCAACCUUCUCUCUUGUCUUUGUCCACGCUAUAGACAUUUGGAGAAACAAUAACCGUACAGUUUAUGACUCAUGUCUUAAGGUUAGUGUGUCAUUAAGUAGAUACGAACAAUGG
rnacentral:rRNA from 1 species